AGUGAACGCUGGCGGUAGGCCUAACACAUGCAAGUCGAACGGCAGCACAGUAAGAGCUUGCUCUUACGGGUGGCGAGUGGCGGACGGGUGAGGAAUACAUCGGAAUCUACUUUUUCGUGGGGGAUAACGUAGGGAAACUUACGCUAAUACCGCAUACGACCUACGGGUGAAAGCAGGGGAUCUUCGGACCUUGCGCGAUUGAAUGAGCCGAUGUCGGAUUAGCUAGUUGGCGGGGUAACGGCCCACCAAGGCGACGAUCCGUAGCUGGUCUGAGAGGAUGAUCAGCCACACUGGAACUGAGACACGGGCCAGACUCCUACGGGAGGCAGCAGUGGGGAAUAUUGGACAAUGGGCGCAAGCCUGAUCCAGCCAUACCGCGUGGGUGAAGAAGGCCUUCGGGUUGUAAAGCCCUUUUGUUGGGAAAGAAAAGCAGCAGGUUAAUACCCCGCUGUUCUGACGGUACCCAAAGAAUAAGCACCGGCUAACUUCGU
rnacentral:rRNA from 1 species